GAUAGCUCAGUCGGUAGAGCAGAGGACUGAAAAUCCUCGUGUCCCUGGUUCGAUUCCUGGUC
rnacentral:tRNA from 1 species